GAUGAACGCUGGCGGCGUGCCUAAUACAUGCAAGUCGAGCGAACAGACGAGGAGCUUGCUCCUCUGACGUUAGCGGCGGACGGGUGAGUAACACGUGGAUAACCUACCUAUAAGACUGGGAUAACUUCGGGAAACCGGAGCUAAUACCGGAUAAUAUAUUGAACCGCAUGGUUCAAUAGUGAAAGACGGUUUUGCUGUCACUUAUAGAUGGAUCCGCGCCGCAUUAUCUAGUUGGUAAGGUAACGGCUUACCAAGGCAACGAUGCGUAGCCGACCUGAGAGGGUGAUCGGCCACACUGGAACUGAGACACGGUCCAGACUCCUACGGGAGGCAGCAGUAGGGAAUCUUCCGCAAAGGGCGAAAGCCUGACGGAGCAACGCCGCGUGAGUGAUGAAGGUCUUCGGAUCGUAAAACUCUGUUAUUAGGGAAGAACAAAUGUGUAAGUAACUAUGCACGUCUUGACGGUACCUAAUCAGAAAGCCACGGCUAACUACGUG
rnacentral:rRNA from 1 species